rnacentral:rRNA from 1 species
GCCGCACGCGCGCUACACUGACGGAGCCAGCAAGUAACCUUGGCCGAGAGUCCUGGGUAAUCUCGUGAAACUCCGUCGUGCUGGGGAUAGAGCAUUGUAAUUUUUGCUCUUCAACGAGGAAUUCCUAGUAAGCGCAAGUCAUUAACUUGCGUUGAUUACGUCCCUGCCCUUUGUACACACCGCCCGUCGUUACUAUCGAUGAAUGGCUAAGUGAGCCUCCAAGACGGUCUCAGAGCUGGGGGCAACUCCGGCUCGAAGACUGAAAUUCAUGCAAACUUAGUCAUUUAGAGAAAGUACAAGUCGUAACAAGGUUACUGUAGGUGAACCUGCAGUAGGAUCAUUAUUGUUGAUUUAUACCUUUACACUGUGUUUUACAGAAAACCCCAACAAACAUACAUACCACAAAACAAACAAACAAACCAAUUAAAACUUUCAACAACGGAUCUCUUGGUUCCCGCAUCGAUGAAGAGCGCAGCGAAAUGCGAUAAUUAAUGUGAAUUGCAGGCAUCGUGAAUCAUCGAGUUCUUGAACGCACAUUGCGCCCUGUGGUAUUCCGCAGGGCAUGCUUGUUUGAGCGUCGUUUCCCUCUGUAGGAAAUGGGUUUGCCUCUGGCAUUCUUGAAAGACAUGGGGACUUUGUCCAAGGAUGAACUACGUUUCCAUCCCACGGAUUGCCCAAAAACACUUGUCAUUUCGACCUCAAAUCAAGUAGGAGUACCCGCUGAACUUAAGCAUAUCAUAAGCGGAGGAAAAGAACCAACAGGGAUGCCUUAAUAACGGCGAGUGAACGGCAAAACUCAAUUUGAAACUGGUUUCGGGCCCCCGUUGUAAUUUGCA